rnacentral:tRNA from 17 species
GGCCCCGUAGCUCAGUGGAUAGAGCACCGGCCUUCUAAGCCGAUGGUCGCAGGUUCGAAUCCUGCCGGGGUCGCCA